rnacentral:tRNA from 1 species
CGGUCUGGCGGUAGGGCGUGCGUCCGGCUUCGUGGGCCGCGCGAUGGAACGCCUGCUUGACGGGUUCUACACCCUUUCCGACCAG